rnacentral:tRNA from 1 species
GCCCUUGUAGUUCAAUGGACAGAACUUCGCACUCCUAACGCGAAGAUCCAGGUUCGACUCCUGGCAGGGGCA